AGGCAAGAAAAAUAAGCGAAAAUUCAUUCAAUGUGAAUUGAGGAGUGGGGUUUAUAUGUUUGAUUUACAUUCGACAAGUUUAUGGUGAACCCCUCUCAUGGAUAGAGAUUUAGACCCAAUACCAACUUAGAUGGGUAUGCAUGUUUUUAUUUUGUUCGGGAUCAUCUAGCGAAGUACUGCUGUGAUCAUGUUAUUUAUUUUUGACUUGUGUGUAUUCAGCUUGUCCAUGUAGUGUAGGAAUCCAUUUGUCACUCCUUGAUAAUAAUAUAAACGUCUUUGCGUGCUGAAACU
rnacentral:lncRNA from 1 species